rnacentral:rRNA from 1 species
UACGUAGGGUGCAAGCGUUAAUCGGAAUUACUGGGCGUAAAGCGUGCGCAGGCGGUUGUGCAAGACCGAUGUGAAAUCCCCGGGCUUAACCUGGGAAUUGCAUUCGAGACUGAAUAGCUAGGGUACGGUAGAGGGAAGUGGAAUUUCCGGUGUAGCGGUGAAAUGCGUAGAUAUCGGAAGGAACAUCAGUGGCGAAAGCGACUUCCUGGACCAGUACCGACGUUCAGGCACGAAAGCGUGGGGAGCAAACAGG